rnacentral:rRNA from 1 species
AUUGAACGCUGGCGGCAGGCCUAACACAUGCAAGUCGAACGAGUGGCGGACGGGUGUGUCAUGUCUGGGAAACUGCCCGAUGGAGGGGGAUAACUCAUGAAAACGGUAGCUAAUCCCGCAUACCAUCAGAUGUGCCUCGAUGGGAUUAGCUAGUAGGUGGGGUAACGGCUCACCUAGGCGACGAUCCCUAGCUGGUCUGCGAGGAUUACCAGCCACACUGGAACUGAGACACGGCCCAGACUCCUACGGGAGGAAGCAGUGGGGAAUAUUGCACAAUGGGCGCAAGCCUGAUGCAGCCAUGCCGCGUGGAUGAAGAAGGCCUUCGGGUUGUAAAGUACUGUCAGCGAGGAGGCGUUACUCGCAGAAGAAGCACCGGCUAACUCCGUGCCAGCAGCCGCGGUAAUAC